AACAUUUAAACACAAGUGUGAUGCUUUUUGAGGCUUGUGCUGCAAUUAAGUGCUUCACAAACCCAUGUGAUUUAGUAAAGUGCCAGGUUAGGAGGAAGUCGAGAGCGGGCCAAUUUUUAAGGAAACAACAGCCAGAUUGCAUUUGUGUGUUCACAGGGUCAAGAGUGACAGCUUAAAACCAUGACUGAUGAAGAAGUUUAUUUUCAGAAGUGUCGAGAUGUGAUAAAAGGAACAAAUGGGGAUAGAAGCACACACUCUUAUCUGCAUGAAUCAUGUGACUGUACAGGCCUUUGUUUGAGGCGUACUGUCGACUUGGUCAGACAGUCACACUUCCAUUUGACACUCGUGACACUAUCUCUCUCCUCAGUCUUCCCCUUUGUCACUCAUGCACUCACACACAAAUGUAGUGUCAAUAAUGGCAGGCUACAGUCUGUAUAAUGAUCCUAUCUUCCCAGAUUGUCGGGGUGCUGUCUGCUUUGUCUGUCACACAAAGAGAAGAGAGGCAGUGUGAGUACAAGUGGAUCACCCCCAAGUAAAUGAAGAACAUCAUCAUGGCGUCCUGCAACAGACUUCCUAUGUCAACAGAAGCUUUGAUUAACCAGGGACAGGCGGCAGUAGCCUUUGUAAGACUUGGACAAAAGCUGCAUUACAUGAAAUCAUGACAUAGAGAAUUGCUGAAGGGCAGGGUUCAUCCACAAUGUACCCACAAUGCACCAGUGAUGGAAGAGAGCAGCGCUGACACCGGAAUCGUGCACAAAAGAAGCCUGUGGCUCGAUCUCACAUUGUCAACUAGCGGAGGUCACACUCUAAUGUGUGAACAUGCCUCCCUCUGUCCGGCCCUGAAAGGCAGAUGAAGUUUUCUGCUUGGACAAGGCCACAAAGACACGUAUCCCGAUUGAAAAGCUUCGCCUGUGCGCCUUGACUCAUUCCCGUCUCCCUGGGGAGUCCUCUCUGACAGACUGCAGGGGAAAUUGACCUUGUUCAGGUGGGCUGGUGACGCAUCACCUGAAGCAGGCGUCUUAUUAGCCGAGCGCUAACAGGCAGCGUGUGUUCCCGUGGGGGCUGAAUGCUGCUGAGUCAUACUGUACAAACUGAACC